rnacentral:rRNA from 1 species
GUAGGUGGCAAGCGUUGUCCGGAAUUAUUGGGCGUAAAGCGCGCGCAGGCGGUUCUUUAAGUCUGAUGUGAAAGCCCACGGCUCAACCGUGGAGGGUCAUUGGAAACUGGAGAACUUGAGUACAGAAGAGGAAAGCGGAAUUCCACGUGUAGCGGUGAAAUGCGUAGAGAUGUGGAGGAACACCAGUGGCGAAGGCGGCUUUCUGGUCUGUAACUGACGCUGAGGCGCGAAAGCGUGGGGAGCAAACAGGGAUUAGAUACCCUGGUAGUCCACGCCGUAAACGAUGAGUGCUAAGUGUUAGGGGGGGUUUCCGCCCCCUUAGUGCUGCAGCUAACGCAUUAAGCACUCCGCCUGGGGAUACGGCCGCAAGGCUG